GACUUCAUGCAUCAUUAGAUUCAUUAGUGAUCAUAAGCAUCACCAGAAACUCUGUAUCUUUCUUUUUUCAAAAGCUAAAAAUGACACUAUGGGGCAAACUAGAGGCACAGUUUGGGAUCAAUGCUCCUGCAGAUCAGUUUCAUGAUGUCUUCAGUUGUCGACCACACCAUAUAUCCAAUAUGUCCCCUCACAAUAUUCAUGAUUGUGAUCUUCAUGAAGGUGAAUGGGGUAAGGAAGGCGCUAUUGUCUGCUGGAAAUAUUUCCAUGGUAAGCGUUUAAUCUUUUUCAAUUGUAUUUUUCUUUUUUUUUUUCUAAAAAUUAUUAAUAAAUAUAAAAAUGAAAAAUAGAUGGGUCUGCUAAAGUGGCUAAGCAAGUAAUUGAAACCAUAGAUGAUGUGAAUUUGUUAACCGUCUUCAAAGUGAUCGAAGGAGAUCUGUUGAAGGAAUAUAAGAGUUUUAAGUUGACUGUUCAAGCUGCGCCUAAAGGAGAGGGCAGCGUGGUGCAUUGGACCUUAGAAUAUGAGAAGAUCCAUGAGAAUAUACAAGAUCCUUACUCCUUACUAGAGUUUAUUGUCCAAUUUAAUAAGGAUGUUUCUGCUCAUCUCGUGAAAUGUCCGAAGAAAUGAUCAUGAACAUGUUAUGCUUUAAUAUGUGAUUUGCAUAAUAAUUAAAUAAGUGCUCUAUAAUGAAGCACCAAUGACAAACAUAUUUGUGUAUGAACUUAUAUCUACAAUGUAUUAAAUCUUAAAAUGUAUUAAAUCUUAAAACUAUGUUUGUGUUUUUUUUUAAUGAUUACGCUUUCUUUAUUAAUAUCUAUCUAAAUUUUUAAUGUCCGAUUGAUGUUGAUUCGACUUGAUUUAAAUCUAUUUUUUUAAUUUUUUAUUAUAAAAAAUUAAAAAUUCAAAGCGAGCUCUAACAACUUAAAAUUUAACAUGGAAUGAAAAAUACUCAUAAAAAUUUAUCGACAUAAGCUAUGCUAUUCAUAUCUAGGAAUUUCUUCACCAGUCGUUUCUUCUAUUUCAAACAAUGAUUAGUAGCAUUGAUCAAAUCUAAUUUUCCUAAGAUUUUCAAUCAAUUUUAUGUUUAUCAAGAUGUAUUAAAAAAUAAUUAAGUAUAUAUGUAAAAUUAGAAAACCAUGACCUUAUCAAUGCACACUUAUAUAUAUCAUAAUUUAGAGGAUAUAGCCUCGUUUGUUUAUAAAGAAUAAAUUUUUAAAAAAUAUUUAUUAUGAAAAAUAUUUUCUAAGAAUAAAAAUAAUUUUUAAGAAAAUAAUUUUUAAGAAAAUAACUUUUUUAUUUGUGAUUUUAAAAAAUGAAGUCAAUAAAUUUUUUCUCUAAAAUAUUUUCUAUUAAUUAAUCUUUUUCAAUAUUUCAAAUAUCAAAAAAUUUAAAAACAUUUUCAUGCAAACAAACCACUUAAUUUCCUCUUUGAAAUUCAUUUAAGCGAUCAUAUAUAUUCAUAUUUGUGUAUAUCAAAUCAAUAGUAUUAUAAUAUAUUUUUAUAUAAAAUUUUCUAUUUAUUAUUUAUAUUAAUAUAAAAAAAAUAUGCAGCAAUCGCAUAUUGUUUAAAAUAAAAGAAGAAAAUAUAAAUUUAUUUUUAUUAGAAUGCGAUAUAUAAUUAUUUAAGGCAUUGUAACAUUUUCCAUCCCCUAACACAAACCCUAAUUGAAAUCACUCAGAAUAGUCAAUGCUUAAUAAUUGAGUAGGAAAGAUCUCUACUAUAUUAAAAAUAUAUAUAUGGCAACUAAGCUCGUACCACUUCUAUAUGAAGAAAGCAAUGAGAAAGCAGUAUAAGCAUUACCAAAAACUCUCUCUCCAUAUUUCCUUUUUCUUGAAAAGCAAAAAUGACGCUAUUGGGCAAAUCGGAGGCAGAUGUUGAGAUCGAUGCUCCAGCAGAUCAAUUUCACGAUGUCUUUAAUUAGUUGCAGACCACACCAUGUAUCCAACAUGAGUCCCGAUAAAAUUCGUGGUUAUGAUCUUCGUGAAGGUGAAUGGGUAAGAAAGGCACUGUGAUUUGCUGGAUUUAUUCUUCUAAUAAAAUAUUUAAAAUAUUAAUUUAAGAUGUUUCAGAAAUAUUACAUUUUAUCAUUAUCAUCCUAUUUUAAAAAUAAUUUUAUUUAAAUAUUUUUAUUAAUUGUUUUAUAUGAAUUUUUUUAAUCCUCCCCAUAAGUCUAGAUGCACCAUAAAUUAAACCCUGACUCAAAUUAUAUUACUAGACUUUGAAAUAUGAAAAAAUCCAUGAGAAUAUAUCAGAUCCUAAUAUAUUACUGAAACUACUUAUCCAUUUAAGUAAAGAUGUUUAUGCUCAUCUCCUGGAAUAUCAAAAGAAAUUAUCAUAGAUUAUGUUAUGUCAUAACGCGUGAUAUUUCGUGUAAUAAUUAAUUAAGUGCUCUAUAAUGAAACACAAGUGGCUGGGACAUUUUGUUGCAGAAAAACUUGCCUAAAAUCUAUGUCAUGUGUUUGUGUUACUCUAUUAUUAUAUGUCUUUUAAUUUGAUAAAAUUAAAAAUUAGAGAUUAAAUCAUUUACUUUUUUUAAAAAAAUAAUUUAACAGCAUAAAGUAAGGAUUAAACUGUUAAUUUUAAAAUUUUAUGCGGUUAUAUAUUAAUUUUGACCUAAUUAUUUUAUAACAAUUAAUUUCAAUGGUCUCAUCCGUAGGAAAUUCGUAAUUAAUAUAUUUUAUUUAUUUUUAUAUAUUUAUUGUGUGUUGAGUAUAUUAUAAUAGGGUCCAACAUGCAAGUAAUAAUUCAAAAUUUGAAAAAUGUGAUCUAUUAUUUUGUCCCAAUUUGCAUGCAUAGAAGAUUUACUCCAAACGGAAAUAAGAUUUUUUUCCAUGGAUUUUUUUUUUUUUUUUUUACAUUGCGGAGAAAAAAAUUACAAUUAAGCAAUUAGGCCUUUCAGAGAAUAGGCCUAUUAAUCUGAAGGCAAUAUUUCUCAAAAACACAAAUUUGCAACAAUAUCAAUAAAAGUGUUUGCGAACAUAGUGGUGUUACAUAACAUUAGCCCAAAAAAAGUUGUGUUGUCACUAUAGAAUAGAGAUCACAUGAUAAAAUUUAACAAGUAAAAAACGUUGUCUCGCUACAGGAGGAAAUCCGGAUACUUUAACACACAGACUAUCGUCAAGACUCGCCCUCCCCGGAUAGGCCGAGUCUUGACACAGAGUUACUGUUACUAGACACAUUUCUAUUUUGCCUAAUUAGCUGACGAUGUCCAUUAUCGAAUAGUCGGCCACAUUAUUAUUGGAUUUUCAGGAAACACUAUAUUUAUCUUCAUUCCUUACAAUAUAAAAGGAGAACGAUUUCAGAGGAAAUGUAUGCUAUUUCUAAUACUAUUCAAACUUUAAGUAAUUCUUUGCAUUUCUCUGUUCAUCUAAACACUGACUUCAGCAUCAAAUAGACUGUCGUGGGCACCCACCACCACCUCACGUUUUCUCUCUUGUAGGUUCUAGCCGAUUACAGCUAUGUUCCAUUUCGGCUACGUCAUCAAUCCAAUCUUAGCAACAUCAUUUGGUUCCAUUGCCGGAAAAGAUCCAUUAAACUCACUCCUGGAUCAGGCCCAGUUUCCUAUCGUCUUGCCUCACUCGAAAUGGCUGGAAACCCUACAGUUGCUGACAAUACCAUUACCAAUAAGGGGGUCAUCAUUUCCUCUAUCCCAAAUAACUGAGAGAACAUGCAUCCAAUGAUUAAUGAAGCAGACCUUAAUAAUUUGAACAAUGAGCAGAUACUCCAGUAUAUCCAAAGGUUGCAGGCCACUCUCGGGCAGUAUAAGACUCGAGAAGAGGCGUCUAAGAUGGACUCUGAAAGAAGAGAUGAGACUUCCGUAAACACCCCCAAAGCCAAGACGGAAGCACCUAAAAUGCAGCAUAAAGGUAAGUGUGAAUCUGAAGAUAAAUUAGAUGAGGUUUCAAAAGAAGUGGAUUGGAAGCUGAUGACGUAAUGUCAUCUGGGUCCUGGAUCCACACCAGUGAAUAUUGUCCGCUUUGGCUCAAGGCCGCACGGUUUUGCUUUAAAACGUGUCCACUGGGGUUUCAAGGGCAGAGACUUAGGAUUUUAGUUUGGAUGGAUCUCGCCUCUUUCAGAAAAAAUACUAGAGGAAACUUUUCCCGCUAAGUUCAAGUUGCCCUAUUUGGAUAAGUAUUACGGAACGACAGACCCUUGAAGCCAUCUAGCCAUUUUCAGGAUGACCAUGGAGUUUCAAGAUUUAAAUGAUUUUGUGUUAUGCCGAAUAUUCCCUUCGACGCUCACGAUUUCUGAAACUUAUUAAUAAGUAUAAAAAUAAAAAAUUGAUGGAUCUCGCAAAGUGGCAAAAGAGAUGAUUGAAACCAUAGACAAUGUGAACUUAUCAACCACUUACAAAAUAAUCGACAGAGAUCUAAUGAAGGAGUACAAGAGUUUCAAAGCUACCGUUCAAGCUACACCCAAAAGAAAUGGCAGUCUGAUGCAUUGGACCUUGUUAAUAUAAGAAGCUGAAUGAAAAUAUAUCAGAUCUCCAUACAUUAAUGGAAUUUAUUAUCCAUUGCAGUAAGGAUAUUUCUGCUAAAUGCCAGAAGAAAUGAUCAUGGAAUAUGAUCAUCACAUAUUCAUAUCUAAGAAUCUCUUUGCUGUUUUUUCAAACAAUAAAUAAUCAAUUAGUAGCAUCUAUUGAUCUAGUUAAUUUUUUGAAAGUUUUCGAUCGAUUUUAAAUUUAUCAAUAUGUGUUGAUAAUUAAUUAUGAUACAUAAAAUCCGAGACCAUGAUUUUAUUCAUACAGAUUGUAAUAGACAUCAUAAUUUGGAGGCAGGAUUUAGAUUCUAUUUAUUUAUAAAAAAUAAAUUAUUGUCUUUAAAAAUAAUUUAAUAUUUUUAUCAGUAAAAUAAUUUUUAUUAUUCAUUUCUUUUGAAUAUUCUAAACAUAAAAAAUUGAAAGAUAUUUUAACCGCGUAAUUUCCUCUGUGAAAUUCAUUCAAGCUAGAAGUAGCAUAGCACUUUUAGAUGAUCGUAUAUAUUCACAUUUUUAUUUAUUAAUUAUAUAUAUAUAUAAAUUAAAUGUGGAAUUUACUAUAAUUUAAAAUAAUAUAUUAUUUAUUUAUGUAUCAGAUUUAUAUAUUAAAAUUUCCAUGGAAUUUUUCAUCAAAUAAUGCUCAACUCCUCUAUGAGUUAUGGCACCCUCUUCGAGUAGCUAGAAAUACCUAAUCUUAUAUAAAAAUAAAUAUUUUAAUUACUUAAACUUUAAUUAAAAUAUUUUAUUUAAUUAUUAAGACUAACUCGCUUUUAUAUAUGAAUUUAAAUAAUUUAAAUUAAAUUUUAAUUAAAUUUUAAAAUAAAUUUAACACAAAAAUAAGAUAAUUCACAAUUUAUCUUAUUAUUUUUAUUUGUAGUAAUUAUUUUAUCUCACUAAUAAUUUCAACCAAAGUGAGUGAAAAACAUAUAUUUAGGGGUGUCCAGUAUUUAGUUCAAACCGAAAAAAAAAUUGAUAAAUUUAAUUAAUUUGAAAAUUCAGUUGAUUUUUUAUUCAGUUCUGUUCGAUUCAAUUUUUAAUUUCAAAAAUUUUGAUUAUUUCAAUUUGGUACGGUUUUGAGCAGAAAAAAAUGAAAAAAUUAAACUGAACCGAUUAAUGAUAAUAGUAUAUUAUUUUCAAUAAUAUAGAGAUUAAAUCAUAUUAAUGUUAAAAUAUUUUAAUUAAAUUUUAAAAUAUUAAAAAUAAAGUGUAAAAAAUAAAAAUUUAUUAAAAAUUCAAACCAAUCAAAUGAAAUUAAAUCAAACCGAAUCAUAUUGGUUCAUUUCUAUUUGAUUUUUUAUCAAAAUCAAUUCGAUUUUCAUAAAUACCAAAAUUUUAAUUUUUAUAUUAUUCAAUUCCAUUUGAUUUUGAAUCAAAUCGAUCAAAUGCUCACCCCUGAAUAUAUAUUGUGAAAAAGAUUGCUUAAAUGUUAGAUUCAUUAUUACUUGAGUUUCAAUUGGAUUUUUUUAAUAAUUUUAUUUAGAUAAAGAACUCUAUUUAAUUACAAAAAAAUAUAUGGAAAUCCAAUAAUUUUAUUUAGAUAAAGAACUCUAUUUAAUUACAAAAAAAUAUAUGGAAGGAUUUGAGAUUUAGGUAAAGAAAUAUUAUUAAGCGUUAGUUAUUUUACAAUUCCAUAAUGGAAGGUUGAUAGGAAUUUGAAGGAUUUGAAUUAUAAUUCAAGAAUUAAACUAUUUGAUUUAUAAAUAAAAAAAAUAUUUUUAUUAAUUAAUUUAAGGACUGAAAAGUUACUUUAUUUAAACCAUACAAUAAAUAUUUGCCCAUGACUUUACAUAAUCUUAUCACAAAAAAAAAUAAAAUCAAUAAUUUUAAAACACUUUUUACAAAUAUCGUAAGAGAUUAGAAGAAAUCUUAUCACUCAUUAUUAUUGCUCCUUUUCUUUAAAUUUUUAUUAUACUCAAAAUAUAAAGUAUAUUUAUAAAUAAUUAUCAUAUUAUAAUAUCCAGAAAAAAAAUAUCACAAAAAACAUUUCACCUUUAUUUGCCCCCAAACAUUUGAAAAUACACUUUCACAAAUAUUGUCCCGAUUGAGGAAUCCCUAUAUAUAUUUAAUUAUUUUUAUGAUUUAAUUAUUCAUAUAUUAAAUUUACAUUAAUUAUCGUUAUAAUCUUUUGAAUAUAUUUUUAUUGAAAUAUUGAAAUAUUUAUAAUUUCAAAUUAGUUUAUAAGUACUUAUAUUAUCAUUUUCAUUUAUUUUCUAUUAUUUAACUAUUUAAAUUAUUAAACUUACAUAAAUUAUUAUCAUUCUCUUUUUUAAAUAAUUUUAAAAUUAAUUUUUCAUUGCAAAUGAAAAAUAAUUUAUUAUUUAAUGAAAUGUCAACUAUAUUACAUCUUAUUUUUCCUCUAUCUUUUUGCCUUUCCCUUUUCCUUAAUAAUAAUAAUAAUAAUUUUAAUGAAAGAAAAUUAUUUAAGGCAUUUGCAAUAUUUUUCAUCCCAUAAUACACAUUCUAAUUGAAAUCACUCAAAAUAGUCACAGCUUCAUAAUUGAGUAGAAAAAUAUCUCAAAUGACAAUUAGGCUCAUGCCAUUUCUAUAUAUAGAAAGCAAUGCCAAAGGACUUCAUGCAUCAUUAGAUUCAUUAGUGAUCAUAAGCAUCACCAGAAACUCUGUAUCUUUUUUUUUUUUCAAAAGCUAAAAAUGACACUAUGGGGCAAACUAGAGGCACAGUUUGGGAUCGAUGCUCCUGCAGAUCAGUUUCAUGAUGUCUUCAGUUGUCGACCACACCAUAUAUCCAAUAUGUCCCCUCACAAUAUUCAUGAUUGUGCUCUUCAUGAAGGUGAAUGGGGUAAGGAAGGCGCUAUUGUCUGCUGGAAAUAUUUCCAUGGUAAGCAUUUAAUCUUUUCCAAUUGUAUUUUUCUUUUUUUUUCUAAAAAUUAUUAAUAAAUAUAAAAAUGAAAAACAGAUGGGUCUGCUAAAGUGGCUAAGCAAGUAAUUGAAACCAUAGAUGAUGUGAAUUUGUUAACCGUCUUCAAAAUGAUCGAAGGAGAUCUGUUGAAGGAAUAUAAGAGUUUUAAGUUCACUGUUCAAGCUACGCCUAAAGGAGAGAGCAGCGUGGUGUGUUGGACCUUAGAAUAUGAGAAGAUCCAUGAGAAUAUACAAGAUCCUUACUCCUUGCUAGAGUUUAUUGUCCAAUUUAGUAAGGAUGUUUCUGCUCAUCUCGUGAAAUGUCCGAAGAAAUGAUCAUGAACAUGUUCUGCUUUAAUAUGUGAUUUGCAUAAUGAUUAAAUAAGUGCUCUAUAAUGAAGCACCAAUGACAAACAUAUUUGUGUAUGAACUUAUAUCUACAAUGUAUUAAAUCUUAAAACUAUGUUUGUGUUUUUUUUAAUGAUUACGCUUCCUUUAUUAACAUCUAUCUAAAUUUUUAAUGUCCGAUUGAUGUUGAUUCGACUUGAUUUAAAUCUAUUUUUUUUAAUUUUUUAUUAUAAAAAAUUAAAAAUUCAAAGCGAGCUCUAACAACUUAAAAUUUAAUAUAGAAUGAAAAAUACUCAUGAAAACUUAUCGACAUAAAUUAUGAUCUUUAUAUUCAGAAAUCUCUUCACCGGUCGUUUUUUCUAUUUCAAACAAUGAUCAGUAACAUUGAUCAAAUCUAAUUUUCCUAGAAUUUUCAAUCAAUUAUAAGUUUAUCAAGAUGUAUUGAAAAAUAAUUAAGUAUGAUACGUAAAAUUAGAAGACUAUGAUCUUAUGAAGGCACACUGAUAUAUAUCAUAAUUUAGAGGAUGUAGCCUUUGUUUGUUUAUAAAGAAUAAAAUUUUUAAAAAUAUUUAUUAUGAAAAAUAUUUUUUAAGAAUAAAAAUAAUUUUUAAGAAAAUUUUUAUUUAUUAUUUAUAUUAGUAUAAAAAAAAUAAAAAUAUGCAGCAAUCGCACAGAUAUAUAUAUAUAUAUAUAUUGUUUAAAAUAAAAGAAGAAAAUAUAAAUUCAUUUUUAUUAGAAUGAGAUAUAUAAUUAUUUAAGGCAUUGUAACAUUUUCCAUCCCAUAACACAAACCCUAAUUGAAAUCACUCACAAUAACCUCAUGUUCGGCCGCCGAACAUGGUGCGGUUGCGGAAGCUCCUUUGGCCCCCGAAGGUGGUCUUGCCAGCCACCUAUAAAAGGCUCCCUGUCCGAAAAUGGGCGAGUUUUCUCUCUCCAUUUUUGGGUAUAGGUGAAGCUCUGCCCUUCCAUGGUUGAUUUUAUAUUUUCCUUCAAGAUUUUUUAUAAGUUUUUGCUUUGUUUUGAAGAUUUUAAGCUUAAAUCAAAUUUUUUAAGCUUGGAGACCUCCGGAGACCAUUUUCUCCUCAUCUCUGAGUUCGGAUCACAUCUACUCUUGAUCUUCAAGAGGUAAGUGUAGAUCCUCAUCUAUUCUUAUGUUUUAAGUAAGUUUUAAAAGGGGUUAAGGGUAUAUAAUGCAUAUUUUUUAGUAGGAUAUUAUGUUAGGGUUUAUGUUAGCUUUAUGCUUAAUGUGAUGUUUAUGUGUUGUUUGUUGGGGUUUAGGCUAGUUUUAUGCCCCUUAUACAUGUUGAAAUGUGUAUGCAUAUUUUAAAAUAGUUGGAUAUGUGUUUUGGUGAGUUUUAGUGGCUUGGGCAUGGUGGCAGAAUCGGGUUCUGUCACCCAAGAAGACCCAUGUUCGACCGCCGAAGCAAGGAUCGGCCUCCGAACCUGCUAGAGGAGGCAACUUUGGCCGCCUAAACUCGCCCCCGAAAGAUGGACUUUUGGAUCUGUGGGGGAGUUUCGGCCGCCGAACUUGCCCCCGAAGGUUAGUGACUUUCGGAUCUGUGAAGGCCUUUGGCCGCCGAACCUGCCUCUGAAAGUGCCUGACUUUCGGAUCUGCAGGGGCUUUCGGCCGCCGAACCUGCCGCCGAAAGUCAUCUAUACAGCCUUCUUUUGCUUGUUUUCUAUGCAUGUUUUAUGAUAUUUUAGGGGGUUUUUGGGGAGAUGUUUAGUGUCAUGUUAGAGUUGGUUCGGUCCCUCAUUUGAGUCCACCUGUGUAGGAUAGGACCCGAGGAACCAAGGAAGCCAGCAGUGAGUUAGCUGUUCCAGAGCCAGCCAGAGGUGAGUAGAACUGAACUAUGUUUUAAAGUAACUAAAUUUUUCAGCAUGUUCAUGCAUCAUGAAUGCUAUGUUAUGUAUUAGGAUGUUUUGCAUUAGAAUUCACGAAUAUGAUGCAUUGCAUUUUUACUGUUGAUGUGGAUGGAUAUUGGAUGACUUACUAGCCCUCGAGAUGAUAUGAUAUGAUAUGAUAUGAUACGAAAGUUCAGGUCGAGGCCCAUUCUACGCCCCUGGCACGAUGUAAGAGAAAGUCUAGGUUGUAACAGCCCGGAAACCGAUACUCCUCUGUAACGGCCCGAACCGCUACCAGCGCUAGGAUCCAGAUCGGCUUAAGGCCGCCGGGACCCGUAGCAAGCCGAACAUACCUACUAUUACCUGGUCAAAUCCCAUACAUGAUCAAAACUUUAACAUAAAAACUGUAACAUAAGAUGUAUAGACCGAGCUUGACCUGUAUGCGACACAACUGGAAACAUAAAGAACCCCCUACUAGAGCCCUCAUCAAAACUCUAGCUGGGUCAACAUAACAUACAUCAAGCCGGAGACACAUCCAAAGAACUAGAACCUAACCUGUGCAUGCAUCAAACCACAAACAUAAGACCUCCACUAGGGUCCUCAUCAAAUACUCUAGCGUGGUAAACAACACAUGCCACUAUUUUGGUUCAACACAACUCAACAUUAAACCAAUACAUACAUCAUGUACUAAAAAGGGACUAACCAGACCUUAGGAACAAGCACAAUACUAAUUCAUAAACAUAACUCUACUUUACGUUGCAUUUCAUUACAUUAUCUUGCAAUACAUUAUAUCAAUUUAUAAUACAUGUCCACACUAAAAGUACUAAUCUAUUGCUAAAGCAAAGCCUUAACUCUUGAGACCUCCCGAACGACUGCAGACCUGCAACACUGGGGUUAGGGGAGAGGGGUGAGCUAAAAAGCCCAGUGAGUAGAAACAAAGAAAACAGUUCAUUAAUUACAUGCUUUCAUGAAAUGUGUCACAGCACAAACAUUUCACAUAACAGAUUGGACAUGACCACCAAAACUCCCUCUGUCUAUAACAUAACAUGGUGCCCGGCCCUUCGGGCUCCUCAAGACUUCAUUAUGCCCGGCCCUUCGGGCUCCUCAGGACUUCAUUAACAUAACAUAUCUAGGGCUAUUGGGGUCGCCUUGGUCCAUCCACAUCAACAGUAAAUAAUGCAAUGUGUCAUAUUCGUGUAACUAGUGCAAUCAACCUAUUACAUAUAAACAUGAUGCAUGAACAUGCUUUAGGCAUUUGAAUUUCGUAAAAUAAAGAUUUAGUUUCGUUCUACUCACCUCUGGCAGACGCUGAACUGACUCUGCAACUGCUAACACUGAUGGCCUCCUCGGUCCCUCGAGUCCGAUCCUACACAGGUGGACUCGAAUGAGGUGCCAAACACACUCUAACAACUCAUAAACAACUACCCAAAAACCCCCUAAAACAUCACUUAAACAUGCAUAGAAACAACCAUGAAAAGGCUGGACAGGGCACUUUCGGCGGCCGAACCCUUCCUCCAUAGACAAAACUCGGGCACUUUCGGCGGCACCUUCGGCGGCCGAAAGUCCCUCUCCAGAGACGAAAGUCGGGCACUUUCGGCUGCCGAACCUUCCUUCGGCGGCCGAAACUCUGCCUUCAAGCCAAAACUCAACUUUCGGGGGCAAGGUUAGGCGGCCAAUCCAUGCAUCCAUAGGCAGGUUCGGCGGCCGAAACUACCUUCGGCGGCCGAACCUGAGUUCAUCCAGAACUCAGCCUCUUAUGCAUUCAAGCCUCCCAAACCUUCCAAACACCCCAAAAAAGCACCCAACUUCCUAAAAACAUGCAUAAACCCUUAACCAUGCACAAAGGAGUUUAAACAAGCUUAAACUCCAACAAAGAACAUCAUAGAGCAUGCAUAGAGAGCUUAUGACCCUCAUAAGCCAAAACCAUCAAAACCACCCAAAACUUCACUUGCUCUUUCCCAAUCAUGCAUACACUCUCCCACAUGCAUAGACUAGCUUAAACCUUCAACAUAACUUCACAUAAACAAGCAUAAGCAUACAUUGGGCAUAAAACCCACAAAAACCUAAACAUGUAUAUCUACCUACACUCAACCAUUAAAACCUCUUAAAACUUCAUUAAAACAUAAAGGAAAUCAAAGAUCUACACUUACCUCUUGGAGAUCGAGGGUUGGUGUGAUCCCUAACUUGGAGAUGGGAGGAAACUACUCCUUGGGUCUCCAAGCUCUCAAAACUUAGAUCUAAGCUUGAAAACUCUUCAAAGCAACCAAGAAGCUCAUAAAAAUAUGAAGGAAAUGAAGAAAAACAUGAAAAUGACCAAAGGAGGACAUGAACACACCUGAGCUCGAGAGUGGGGGAGAAAACUCGCCCAUUUUCGAUCUGAGGGCUUUUAUAGGUGGCCUGGUCAAAGACCUUCGGCAGCCUAACAUGCCCCCUAAACUCAUACAUGUUCGGCGGCCAAACUUGAGGUUCAGCGGCCGAACCUGGUUUCUGCCCUCAAGACUUUCGAAAGCCUAAAGCACUCCCGAAACAGCCCUAUGUUCGGCGGCCGAACCUGGCAAAUGCCUCCUUGGCCUAUUCUUUUCAAAACUCAAUUUCUUUUCUAUUUAAAACCAUAAAAUCAGUAAAACAUUUUUGAAAACACAUUUUACCCCUCUAGAAGACUCUGGCAUCUUCAAAAUUCCCGGUUCCAACGGAGAUUCCGUCGGAAGGUAGGGAUUUCGAUGCCGGAAUCUAGCCGGGUAUUACAUUCUUCCCCCCUUUAAGAACAUUCAUCCCCGAAUGUUACACAAACAAACAGGCAUUCUCAAAACAUAACAUCAAGCAAGCAAACAAGCAAGCAAACCUAAAACCCUUUCUCUAAAGAGAGACACAGAUACUACUGGAGCAAGAACUUCCGGGUCUCCCAGGCACACCUUAUCCCAAAAGAAACACCUUAGCAAUACCCAACCUUCUCCUAAACUCCACUGGCUUCCGCUGCGCUUCUCUGAUCCUUACUCUUUUCUCUUCAUCUUCACUAACUGGCUUCUUCUCACUGCUAACCCAAAACUAACUCUACCUCUCACAGGUAGUACCCGGAUUUCAGAUCUAUCUUGGAAAACAAAUAGCUCCGACUAGCUGUCCCAAUAGAUCAUCCAUCCUGCAUGGGAAUACCUGCCCUUAGUAGUGACCUUGGUCAACUGCUUACAGUUGUUACAAAGUCUCAAGGAUUCAUCCUUCUUUUCCCUCCACCACACUGGAACAAUCCAGGGUGAGGUACUAGGUUGGAUAAAACCCCUGUCUACCAAGUCUCGCCUCUACUCUGACUACUACCUUUCUCUAUGCUGGCGCCAUCCUGUAGGGGAGAAUAGAAAUGGUUUUAGGUCCAGACACCACUCCUAUGCUCAACUCUAACUCCCUGACAGGUGGUAAACCUGACAACUAGCCCGGGAAAACAACUAAGAACUCUCUCUAACAACUAACACUGAGGCUGGUUCCCCGACCUGACUGCUAAACUCUCAACAAGAACUCGAACCCUCUGACAACCCCUCCUACGCACCCUACGAACCUGACAGGCUGACAUCAAACCUCUAGGCAUCCCUACUGUGUUCCCUCAACAGACUACCUCUGACCCAUCCUGUCCUCUGAACUUGACUACCUUGUCUCUACAGACCAAGAUAGCACCACGAGCAGAAACCAAUCCAUCCCUCGAUUGACGUCCAGACAGUCAAGUCUAGGACCUCAAAGUCGGCUGGAAGGCAUCUACCCUCAACUGGCACUGAACUGGACCGGCAGACUGACUCUGCCACAGAUGGAUCACACUUGGGUCCACUGACCCAAGGAAAACACUCUAGCCCAGAAGCUAUUAACUCAACCUCUCGACGGCUCCUAGAGCAACUAAAGAAAGAGAAACUCCAGGGUUCACAAAACAUACACAUCAGAACAUUCAAAAGUGAGCGUACCUGGCACCACCAUGUUCGAUGUGUCUGCCUCCUGCUGAGCUUGGGUGAAGAUUCGAGCUGAAGCUGACGGACCUUCUCCACGGGAACCUUCAAAAGAAAAGGCUGACCCUCUUCCUCUGCCUCGACCACUAACCUGAACCAUGGCUGGAGCUGCUGGCUGAGCCAUUCUACCUGAAGUUGCCCGCUGAGACUGUGCCAACUAGGGAGCAAUGGGACACUCACGUACCAUGCGCCCUUCCUGACCACAUCUAAAACAUAGAUUAGUCCCAAUCAGACAGACUCCCUUGUGCGGCCUUCCGCACCUCAUGCAUCUUGAAUUGCCUGAGCCAGAGCUUGAGCCACUAAAACCCAGACUAGCCUUUAAAUUCUUCCAAAACUUCUUCUUCUUCCCCCUCAGGGUUCUGCCCCACUUCUUGCUUUUCGUGGAGGCUGUACUCAGAGUGGAGGGAUCAAUCCCUCCUGAACCCGAGAUUCUGGAAUCCUGAGUCCGAGCAUCCUCCUGAGAAUCUCCCAUACCUUCUUCUGGCACUCUGAUUCCCAAACUGACAUCUCUUCUCUGAACACCCAACUCUACUUCCCUCAUACUAGCUGACAUCCUUCUUGGAGCCAUUCCUUCUCUGCUUACAUCAAAAGACCUUCCAGGGUCCCUUGAUGUUCCCCAUCUGCUGACUCCCCACGACUGCGCUCUUGGCAGAGCAGGGGGAAAGGUAUCCAUACCUUCCCUCUCAGAUGGAACUCCAGUCGAUUCCACAGAUCGACAAGCACCUCGCAUUCUGGCUCCUCUGAAGAACAACACACAAGCAUACAAACAAUCAUCAGCAUCAUACGAUUCAGGUGGAAACACAUGAACCUACAACAAACAUAGCAUACAUAGCAUAUCAUACAUACAUACAUAGCAUAACAUCAUGGCAUUUCACAUCAUCAUUCAUACAAGACUCCACAUCCUAUCCUAGUGGACAUGAUUCUUCCUAUUGUGCUUGCCCUUCUAUGACCUCUAAACCAACCUCGUUCUGAUGUGGGAUACCUCUAAUCCUUAAGCAUCUUUGCUCAACACACCGUACUGAUGAGGCCCAAAGCUCUGAUACCACUCUGUAACGGCCCGAACCGCUACCAGCGCUAGGAUCCAGAUCGGCUUAAGGCCGCCGGGACCCGUAGCAAGCCGAACAUACCUCCUAUUACCUGGUUAAAUCCCAUACAUGAUCAAAACUUUAAUAUAAAAACUGUAACAUAAGAUGUAUAGACCGAGCUUGACCUGUAUGCGACACAACUGGAAACAUAAAGAACCCCCUACUAGAGCCCUCAUCAAAACUCUAGCUGGGUCAACAUAACAUACAUCAAGCCGGAGACACAUCCAAAGAACUAGAACCUAACCUGUGCAUGCAUCAAACCACAAACAUAAGACCUCCACUAGGGUCCUCAUCAAAUACUCUAGCGUGGUAAACAACACAUGCCACUAGUUUGGUUCAACACAACUCAACAUUAAACCAAUACAUACAUCAUGUACUAAAAAGGGACUAACCAGACCUUAGGAACAAGCACAAUACUAAUCCAUAAACAUAACUCUACUUUAUGUUGCAUUUCAUUACAUUAUCUUGCAAUACAUUAUAUCAAUUUAUAAUACAUGUCCACACUAAAAGUACUAAUCUAUUACUAAAGCAAAGCCUUAACUCUUGAGACCUCCCGAACGACUGCAGACCUGCAGCACUGGGGUUAAGGGAGAGGGGUGAGCUAAAAAGCCCAGUGAGUAGAAACAAAGAAAACAGUUCAUUAAUUACAUGCUUUCAUGAAAUGCGUCACAGUACAAACAUUUCACAUAACGGAUUGGACAUGACCACCAAAACUCCCUCUGUCUAUAACACAACAUGGUGCCCGGCCCUUCAGGCUCCUCAGGACUUCAUUAUGCCCGGCCCUUCGAGCUCCUCAGGACUUCAUUAACAUAACAUAUCUAGGGCUAUUGGGGUCGCCUUGGUCCAUCCACAUCAACAGUAAAUAAUGCAAUGCGUCAUAUUCGUGUAACUAGUGCAAUCAACCUAUUACAUAUAAACAUGAUGCAUGAACAUGCUUUAGGCAUUUGAAUUUCGUAAAAUAAAGAUUUAGUUUCGUUCUACUCACCUCUGGCAGACGCUGAACUGACUCUGCAACUGCUAACACUGAUGGCCUCCUCGGUCCCUCGGGUCCGAUCCUACACAGGUGGACUCGAAUGAGGUGCCAAACACACUCUAACAACUCAUAAACAACUACCCAAAAACCCCCUAAAACAUCACUUAAACAUGCAUAGAAAACAACCGUGAAAAGGCUGGACAGGGCACCUUCGGCGGCCGAACCCUUCCUCCAGAGACGAAACUCGGGCACUUUCGACGGCCGAACCUUCCUUCAGCGGCCGAAAGUCUGCUUUCAAGCCAAAACUCAACUUUCGGGGGCAAGGUUAGGCGGCCAAUCCAUGCAUCCAUAGGCAGGUUCGGCGGCCGAAACUACCUUCGGCGGCCGAACCUGAGUUCAUCCAGAACUCAGCCUCUUAUGCAUUCAAGCCUCCCAAACCUUCCAAACACCCCAAAGAAGCACCCAACUUCCUAAAAACAUGCAUAAACCCUUAACCAUGCACAAAGGAGUUUAAACAAGCUUAAACUCCAACAAAGAACAUCAUAGAGCAUGCAUAGAGAGCCUAUGACCCUCAUAAGCCAAAACCAUCAAAAUCACCCAAAACUUCACUUGCUCUUUCCCAAUCAUGCAUACACUCUCCCACAUGCAUAGACUAGCUUAAACCUUCAACAUAACUUCACAUAAACAUACAUAAACAAGCAUAAGCAUACAUUGGGCAUAAAACCCACAAAAACCUAAACAUGUAUAUCUACCCACACUCAACCAUUAAAACCUCUUAAAACUUCAUUAAAACAUAAAGGAAAGCAAAGAUCUACACUUACCUCUUGGAGAUCGAGGGUUGGUGUAUCCCUAACUUGGAGAUGGGAGGAAACUACUCCUUGGGUCUCCAAGCUCACAAAACUUAGAUCUAAGCUUGAAAACUCUUCAAAGCAACCAAGAAGCUCAUAAAAAUAUGAAGGAAAUGAAGAAAAACAUGAAAAUGACCAAAGGAGGACAUGAACACACCUGAGCUCGAGAGUGGGGGAGAAAACUCGCCCAUUUUCGGUCUAAGGGCUUUUAUAGGUGGCCUGGUCAAAGACCUUCGGCAGCCUAACGUGCCCCCUAAACUCAUGCAUGUUCGGUGGCCGAACUUGAGGUUCGGCGGCCGAACCUGGUUUCUGCCCUCAAGACUUUCGGAAGCCUAAAGCACUCCAGAAACAGCCCUAUGUUCGGCGGCCGAACCUGGCAAAUGCCUCCUUGGCCUAUUCUUUUCAAAAAUCAAUUUCUUUUCUAUUUAAAACCAUAAAAUCAGUAAAAUAUUUUUGAAAACACAUUUUACCCCUCUAGAAGACUCUGGCAUCUUCAAAAUUCCCGGUUCCAACGAAGAUUCCACCAGAAGGUAGGGAUUCCGAUGCCGGAAUCUAGCCGGGUAUUACACAGGUGUUGGGAAAUCCUGAGAUUAUUGCAAUCCAAUUGCGCAGCGGAAAAAUAAAAUUUUGGAUUUCCUUUCCAGAAUCCGAGUGCUUCGUUUAAAUCAUAAGAAUAAUAUGAGACUAACCUGUUAAUCUUAUAAGAAAGAUACACUGGCGGACUGAUGGUGCUGUCUUUUCAAACGAACACCCUCUAUGGUAUCCACACGAACGUCUUCUAUCCUUCUAGAGUGCUAGCUCUUUCAAAGAUGGAUAGAUCAUGUGCUCCACAAUCUGCAAUCUUUUAAACUGAGUUUUCUCAAAACUUAACAUCAACUUACUCAAUCUGUAGAAGGAGUAUUUAUAUGUCUCAGUCUUUUAUUUUCACACAACUCCUUUUCCUAAAAGGAGUUGUGUUUUUCCUAAAAGAAUUGUACAACUCUUUUCCUAAAAGAAUUGUACAACUCUUUUCCUAAAAGAGUUGUGUUCAGAACCCACUAUCACAAUCUCACAGAUACUCAAAAUAUCUUUAUGUGAUAGAGUCCUUUAUCUGUAACAGUUACAGAUAGACUGCAGAUCUUUUAAAUAUUAUUAUUUCAUAAUAAUAAAUAAUUAAUAUUAAUAAUAAUAACACAUUAUUAUUAUUAAUUAUACUAAUGGGCUUUUAGCCCAUUAAUAUAGCACAUCAACAACGUUCUUGUGUGUGACCCAAUAGGCUCAUAUUAAUUGGCAAUAGGCCCAGUUCAACAAGGCCUAUAAAUCAUAAGUGGCCUCUAGCAAGACAUUAUGACUACCCAACUAAUAUGAGGAUCAAUAGUCCGAUAAAGCCUAUUAAAUAGAACAUAUAUUAAUCCCUUUGUGACACGAUAUCUAGUUUGAACAUAAGUCAUGGUCAAUGUCAAACUUAUAAUGUUCAAACUUAUGAUUUCUCGAUCUCUAAGUAGACUGAUAAAUUCAAAUGAUAUUGAUCGCACUAUCAAUUCAUUUGAGCAUGGCCAUGCAUUUCUCAGUCUCACUUAUCGAGGGGCCCAAAAGAUAUCUCUCUCAUAGAGAGGGACAAAUCCUAUCUUGACUGUUCAUUUUCCUCUACAUAAUUUCUAUUAUGCUCAAUCAUAACCUUUAUGAUUGUCCGAUUAAAAACAACGUUUGGUUAUGUCAAAACAUAACAGUCCUUAUGUUGGAAACUAUGACAAUCUCAAGUCAAAGGAUUAAGACAUAACUACUUUGAGAUUCACUUAUGACAAUGACCCAUGUAGUGAUCUCAAUGCGGGUCCAUCCAAUACUUUGUUCUCUAACAAGUAUUUAUGAUUAUUGAAUUAUAUCAACAUAUACAUAAUCAUCUCAUGAUUAUCAAUCAAUAAUCAUACCAGUUAUAUUUUAUUAUUAUCAACAUAAUAAUAAGUAAUCAGGGAUGAUAAUCAUUAUUAUGUAACAUGCAAAUAAAUAAUAAUGAUAAAAACCUCUUUUAUUAAUGACCAAAACGACAUACAUAAAGGUCCAAGAUAAUAGCCUAGGGCAUAUACACUAACAAUCUCCCACUUGCACUAGGCCUAAUCAUAUAAGUAUCUAAUAUCCAUAGACCUAGUGUGUUGAUCAUGCUUGACCUGUGAAAGAGGCUUGGUCAGUGGAUUUGCAAUGUUGUCAUUUGUGUCUACUUUGCAUAUUUUGAUAUCUCCUCUAUCAAUGAUCUCUCGAAUAAGGUGAUAUCGCCUGAGUAUAUGUUUAGAUCUCUGGUGAGAUCUGGGCUCCUUUGCCUGUGCUAUGGCACCGUUAUUACCAUAAUAAAGGUCCAUAGGAUUUGCAAUGCUAGGAACCAUUCCCAUCUCUGAGAUGAAUUUCUUCAACCAAACUGCCUUUUUAGCUGCAUCUGAUGCUGCUAUAUACUCAGCUUCUAUUGUAGAAUCUGCUAUAGUGCUCUGCUUGGAACUCUUCCAACUAACAACUCCACCAUUUAAAGUGAAUACGAAUCCUGACUGCGAUCUGAAGUCAUCUAUGUCGGUUUGGAAACUAGCAUCUGUGUAACCACUUACAACUAACUCGUCUUCCAAACCUCCAUAAAUUAGGAAUGCAUCCUCAGUCCUUCUAAGGUACUUUAGGAUAUUCUUAACAGCUGUUCAGUGACCUUCACCGGGAUCUGCCAUAUAUUUGCUCGUUGUACUCAAGGCAUAUGAGACAUCUGGUUUGGUACAUAACAUGGCAUACAUGAUAGAUCCAAUAGCAGAAGCAUAAGGGAUCUUAUUCAUCCGUUCUAGCUCAUCAGAUGUCAUAGGACAUUGAUUCUUGCUGAGAUGAAUACCAUGAGAUAUGGGCAAGAAUCCUCUUUUGCAAUCUUGCAUGCUGAACCUUUUCAGCACCUUGUCAAUAUAAGUACUUUGACUCAGACCUAUUAUCCUCUUGGAUCUAUCCCUAUAGAUCUUAAUACCAAGGAUAUAUGCGGCCUCACCUAAUUCCUUCAUUGAAAAAGAAUUCCCAAACCAAGUCUUAACCUUUUGCAAGGUAGGGAUAUCAUUUCCAAUGAUUAAUAUGUCAUCCACAUAUAAGACUAGAAACACAACUACACUCCCACUAACCAUCUUGUAAACACAAGGUUCAUCUUCAUCAAUGAGCAAAGGUUCACGAUUAUCAGUCAUGAGAAAUCCAUAUCUCUCAUGCUAAUGACGUGUCCUAUCAGAUCUGCGUGGGACUUGUGUCACCCUUUCAGUUUCCACAACUGUUUGUGGUUCUGAAAGUGGUUCUAUCGGCGGUUCAAUGCUCUCUUGUGGUGCUUGAGUUUCCUCAAGUCGCGCUGUACUCCCACUGAAUCUCUGAGAGAUAAAUUCCUUUUCCAAAAAGGUACCAUUUCGAGCAACAAACACUUUGUUCUUUGAGGGAGUAUAGAAGUAGUAUCCUUUGGUUUCCUUAGGAUACCCCACAAAAUUGCACUUGAUAGAUUUUGGAGCUAGCUUAUCUGAAAUCGGGCGUUUCACAUAAGCCUCACAACCCCAAAUCUUAAGAAAAGACAAAUUGGGCAUUUUCCCAGUUCAUAACUCAUAUGGUGUCUUUUCAACCGCUUUCGAUGGUACUCGGUUUAAAAUGAAUACAGUUGUUUCCAAGGCAUAACCCCAAAACGAUAAAGGGAGAUUCGUUGGACUCAUCAUAGAUCAAACCAUAUCUAAUAAAGUUCGAUUUCUCAUUUCAGAAAUACCAUUCCAUUGUGGACUUUCUGGAGGAGUUAAUUGUGAAACAAUUCCACAGUUUCUAAGAUGUUCAUCAAACUCUUGGCUCACAUAUUAACCACCUCGAUCAGAUCGAAGCAUUUUAAUAGUUCUACCAAGUUGAUUUUGUACUUCAUUUUGAAAAAUUCUAAACAUUUCAAAAGAUUCAUGCUUGUGUUUCAUUAGGUAGACAUAGCCAUACCUACUGAAAUCAUCAGUGAAUGUAAUGAAGUACUGAUAACCUCCCCUAGCACUAAUACUUAGUGGGCCACAUACAUCUGUAUGUACUAAGCCCAAUAAGUCUGAAGCCCUUUGACCUUGUUCAGUAAAAGGGUCCUUUGUCAUCUUACCAAGCAAACAAGAUUCACAAUUUUCAAAUGAUUCAAAAUCAAAUGAAUCUAAUAAACCAUCUUUAUGGAACUUAGAUAUGCGAUUCUCAUUUAUAUGGCUAAGACGACAGUGCCAUAAAUAUGUUGGGUUUAACUCAUUUGGCUUAGUUUUCUUAGAAGUUAUGUUAUAGAUAUUAUUGUCUCUAGAAUCAUAUAGAUUAAGGACAUAAAGGCCAUCAUAUGAAUUUGCAAUACAAUAAAGCAAAUCAUCUUUAUUAAUGGAGCAUUUCUUAUUCUUAAUAAGAAAUGAAAAACCUUCAUCGUCCAAAACAGAAACUGAAAUAAUAUUCCUACUCAAAGUAGGAACAUAAAAGCAAUUGUUCAGAACUAGCAAAAGCCCAUUGGGCAACACAAGUUCAUAUGUCCCUACAGCUAUGGCAGCAACUCUUGCUCCAUUGCCUACAUGUAGGUCCACAUCGCCCUUUUUCAGUUUUCUACUCCUUUUGAGACUCUGCACAUUUGCACAAAUGUGAGAACCAUAUCCGGUAUCUAAUACCCAUGAAGUAGAAAUAGAUAAAUUAAUAUCUAUAACAUAAAUACCUGAAGUCGUAGUCUCACUACUCUUCUUCUUCUUGCACUCAUCCAAAUAGAGUUUGCAAUUUCUCUUCCAAUGCCCUGGUUCCUUGCAAUGGAAGCAAAUUCCUUCUUUAGGUACUAUUUCCUUAGGAAAUUUUUGCCUUGGAUUGCCAUUUAGGCUUGCUUCGUCCCUUAGGCCCAUUACCACCUUUAGACUUGGGCUUCCUCUUAUUUUUCAUGGGCUUACCCUUAUUGACAUUCAAAUUUUGGGUAGGCCUUUUCCCAACAUUUAUCUCAGCUGUCUUUAGCAUUCCAUGCAGCUCAGGAAUGAAUUUCUCCAUAUUGUUCAUGUUUAUAGUUCAUGACAAACUAAGAAAAAUGCCAGGUAAAGAUUGUAGGAUCAAAUCCGUAGAGAGUUCUAAACUCAGAGGAUAGCCAAGCCUAGCAAGGUGAUCAAUGUAGCCUUUCAUCUUUAAAACAUGAGCACUAACUGAAUCACCUUCAGCCAUUAUGCAAUCAUGCAAUGCGAUGGUGGUUUCAUACUUGUCCUGCCUAGCUUGUUGUUGGAAAGCCUGUUUGAGAUGGACACUCAUCUCAUAGGCCUCAAGGUGCUCCAGAUCCUUCUAAAGUUCUGGGCACAUAGUUGCCAAUAUAAGACAUCCAAUGUCAUUAGAAUCAUCCAUAUGCUUCUUAUGCUUGUUCUUAACAGCAUUAGUAGCAUCAGCAGGAGGUGGUUCAGGGAAAGUUUCAUCAAGCACGUAGGACUUUUACUCUUGCUUGAGAACAAUUCUCAAGUUUCUAAACCAGUCAACAAAAUUAGUCCCAUUUUCUUUCAGUUUAUCCUUCUCAAGGAUAGAUCGCAGUGAUAAGAUGGAAUUGUUAUUAGCAACCAUAAUUAUCUACAAAAAUAUGCAAACAUAAUUAAUUUAGUAAACAAAUUAAUAUUGAGGUGAUAAUAAUCUCCCACUAAAAUAUAACCCUCAAAAUAAUAAUAAUAUUUUAGUGGGCUAAGAUCCAUAUUUCACCUAAUUCUAAGUCAGCUUUGGCAUGACGCUUAGAAUUAAGUUAUUUAGGUAGGUAACCCCUUACCAAUUACAUCUAAUGUAACUCUUAAAUUAUGAGGUAUUGACAUCAUAUGUUAAAUGCAUGUUAUACCCCAUCUAAUACCUUAGGCCCAAAACCGUUUUGAUAGCCUAAUUAAGCUCAACCAAAAUUAAAUAAAUUAGUAACCAUUACUCAUCCUACCUUACUAGGAUAACCUAAUGCACUUUGCUUUGGCAAAACCUGCAUUUUGGUGAUCUUAGUCUUGAUAGGUUUUUAAUAUAUGGGUGGCAUUAAAAUUUAAAAUUUUAGAGUGAGGGUUCAAUUUUAAUUUUAAUUAUUUUAUCUUACAUAUGUAUAUAUAUUAUAGCAUCCAAUAUGUAUAUAUAUAUAUAUAUAUAUAUAUAUAUAUAUAUAUAUAUAUAUAUANNNNNNNNNNNNNNNNNNNNNNNNNNNNNNNNNNNNNNNNNNNNNNNNNNNNNNNNNNNNNNNNNNNNNNNNNNNNNNNNNNNNNNNNNNNNNNNNNNNNNNNNNNNNNNNNNNNNNNNNNNNNNNNNNNNNNNNNNNNNNNNNNNNNNNNNNNNNNNNNNNNNNNNNNNNNNNNNNNNNNNNNNNNNNNNNNNNNNNNNNNNNNNNNNNNNNNNNNNNNNNNNNNNNNNNNNNNNNNNNNNNNNNNNNNNNNNNNNNNNNNNNNNNNNNNNNNNNNNNNNNNNNNNNNNNNNNNNNNNNNNNNNNNNNNNNNNNNNNNNNNNNNNNNNNNNNNNNNNNNNNNNNNNNNNNNNNNNNNNNNNNNNNNNNNNNNNNNNNNNNNNNNNNNNNNNNNNNNNNNNNNNNNNNNNNNNNNNNNNNNNNNNNNNNNNNNNNNNNNNNNNNNNNNNNNNNNNNNNNNNNNNNNNNNNNNNNNNNNNNNNNNNNNNNNNNNNNNNNNNNNNNNNNNNNNNNNNNNNNNNNNNNNNNNNNNNNNNNNNNNNNNNNNNNNNNNNNNNNNNNNNNNNNNNCGCGACCCACGGGGAGGCGCGACCCUCCAGUCGCGCUACCCCCCGGGUUGCGCGACCACCGGUCGCGCGACCCACGGGGGGGCGCGACCCUCCGGUCGCGCGAUCCCCUGGUCGCGCGGCCCUCCGCGGCGUGCGGCCUUCCGUCAGUGCAACGCCGGUGACAGGCGUCCGACGCCCGUCAUUGGGUGUCCUCUGAUUGACCAUGGCGAGGAACACGAUUUUUCCAGAAAUUGAUUUCCUUUUUUUUUUUUAUAAUUUUUAUUAUUGUUGUUUUAAUUUUAACAAUUAAAACUUAAAACAACGAAUCAAAACAAUUUUGAUUCUAGAUGUAAAAGAAAAUUUUUAAUUUAAUUUUUUUAACAAUCUAAAUGAUCCAAUCAUUCAUCCAUAAAUUUAACCAUAAUUAUCAUGUCAUUUUAAUAAACAUAUAUCGUAUAUAUAAUAUCAAUCGUGACAUAAUUAAUUUAAACGAAAAAUACAGAUAGUCUCUGAUAUCACUGUUGGGAAAUCCUGAAAUUAUUGCAAUCCAAUUGCGCAGCAAAAAAAUAAAAUUUUGGAUUUCCUUUCCAGAAUCCGAGUGCUUCGUUUAAAUCAUAAGAAUAAUAUGAGACUAACAUGUUAAUCUUAUAAGAAUACACUGGCGGACUGAUGGUGCUGCCUUUUUAAACGAACACCCUCUAUGGUAUCCACACGAACGUCUUCUAUCCUUCUAGAGUGCUAGCUCUUUCAAAAAUGGAUAAAUCAUGUGCUCCACAAUCUACAAUCUUUUAGACUGAGUUUUCUCAAAACUUAACAUCAACUUACUCAAUCUGUAGAAGGAGUAUUUAUAUGUCUCAGUCUUUUAUUUUCACACAACUCCUUUUCCUAAAAGAAGUUGUGUUUUUCUUAUAAUUCUUUUCCUAAAAGAAUUGUACAACUCUUUUCCUAAAAGAGUUGUGUUCAGAACCCACUAUCACAAUCUCACAGAUACUCAAAAUAUCUUUAUGUGAUAGAGUACUUUAUCUGUAACAGUUACAGAUAGACUGCAGAUCUUUUAAAUAUUAUUAUCUCAUAAUAAUAAAUAAUUAAUAUUAAUAAUAAUAACACAUUAUUAUUAUUAAUUAUACUAAUGGGCUUUUAGCCCAUUAAUAUAGCACAUCAACAACGUUCUUGUGUGUGACCCAAUAGGCUCAUAUUAAUUGGCAAUAGGCCCAGUUCAAUAAGGCCUAUAAAUCAUAAGUGGCCUCUAGCAAGACAUUAUGACUACCCAACUAAUAUGAGGAUCAAUAGUCCGAUAAAGCCUAUUAAAUAGAACAUGUAUUAAUCCCUUUGUCACACGAUAUCUAGUUUGAACAUAAGUCAUGAUCAAUGUCAAACUUAUAAUGUUCAAACUUAUGAUUUCUCGAUCUGUAAGUAGACUGAUAAAUUCAAAUGAUAUUGAUCACACUAUCAAUUCAUUUGAGCAUGGCCAUGCAUUUCUCAGUCUCACUUAUCGAGGGGCCCAAAAGAUAUAUUUCUCAUAGAGAGGGACAAAUCCUAUCUUGACUGUUCAUUUUCCUCUACAUAAUUUCUAUUAUGCUCAAUCAUAACCUUUAUGAUUAUCCGAUUAAAGACAACGUUUGGUUAUGUCAAAACAUAACAGUCCUUAUAUUGGAAACUAUGACAAUCUCAAGUUAAAUGAUUAAGACAUAACUACUUUGAGAUUCACUUAUGACAAUGACCCAUGUAGUGAUCUCAAUGCGGGUCCAUCCAAUACUUUGUUCUCUAACAAGUAUUUAUGAUUAUUGAAUUAUAUCAACAUAUACAUAAUCAUCUCAUGAUUAUCAAUCAAUAAUCAUACCAGUUAUAUUUUAUUAUUAUCAAUAUAAUAAUAAGUAACCAGGGAUGAUAAUCAUUAUUAUGUAACAUGCAAACAAAUAAUAAUGAUAAAAAUCUCUUUUAUUAAUGAACAAAACGACAUAUAUAAAGGUCCAAGAUAAUGGCUUAGGGCAUAUACACUAACAGGUAUUACACAGGUCGAGGCCCAUUCUAAGCCCUUGGCACAGUUGGACAUGUUAUGUUAUAUUUAAGAAGAAGUUCUGAGUAGCUCCGUUGAGAGCCGGACAUUAUUUGGAUAUGUAUAGGGUUACUGGUGACAAGUCCAUCCGUGAUGUGAAUUGUUUGUUUGUAGUGCAUUUCAUAAAAGCAUAUAUUUAUUAAAUUGUUUUAUUGUUCUGAUCACUGGAUUUUAGUAGCUUACUCCUUUGCCCCUAACCCCCAGAUUUGCAGGUCAGAGAUAGCACAGGAGGUCGGCAAUGGUGAUAUUUAUGUUGAUGUAAUAGAUAGUAGUGGACAUGUAAUAUGUAAUGGUUAGAUUUGUGUUUUGCCCUAAUUUAUGUUUUUGUUAAAAAUAAAUUUUUAUUUGUAAAAAUAAUUUAAUAUUUUUAUCAGUAAAAUAAUUUUUAUUAAUCAUUUCUUUUGAAUAUUCUUAAACAUAAAAAAAUUGAAAGAUAUUUUAGCCGCGUAAUUUCCUCUGAAAUUCAUUGAAGCUAGAAGUAGCAGCACUUUUAGAUUAUGUAUAUAUUCACAUUUUCAUUUAUUAAUUAUAUAUAUAUAUAAAUUAAAUAUGGGAUUUACUAUAAUUUAAAAUAAUAUAUUAUAUAUUAAAAUUUCCAUGGCACCCUCUUCGAGUAGCUAGAAAUACCUAAUCUUAUAUAAAAAAUAAAUAUUUUACUUAAACUUUAAUAAAAAUAUUUUAUUUAAUUAUUAAGACUAACUCGCUUUUAUAUAUGAAUUUAAAUAAUUUAAAUUAAAUUUUAACUAAAUUUUAAAAUAAAUUUAACACAAAAAAGAGCCAAUUCACAAUUUAUCUUAUUACUUUUAUUCGUAGUAAUUGUUUUAUCUCACAAAUAAUUUUAACUAAAGUGAGUGAUAAACAUAUUUAGAGUAUUUAGUUCAAACUGAAAAAAUUGAUCAAAUUUAAUUAAUUUAAAAAUUCAGUUUGAUUUUUUAUUCAGUUUAGUUCAAUUUAAUUUUUAAUUUCAAAAAUUUUGAUUAAAUUUGGUACAAUUUUAUCAGAAAAAAAUGAAAAAACCAAAAUGAACCGAUUAGUGAUAAUAGUAUAUUAUUUUCAAUAAUAUAGAGAUUAAAUCAUAUUAAUGUUAAAAUAUUUUAAUUAAAUUUUAAAAUAUUAAAAAUAAAAUGUAAAAUAUAAAAAAUUUAUUAGAGGUUCAAACCGAUCAAAUGAAAUUGAAUCAAAUCGAAUCAUAUUGGUUUAUUUCUAUUUGAUUUUUUAUUAAAAUCAAUUCAAUUUUCAUAAAUAUCAAAAUUUUAAAUUUUAUAUUAUUCAAUUCCAUUUGAUUUUGAAUUAAAUCGAUCAAAUGCUCACUCAGAAUAUAUGGUGUGAAAAAGAUUGCUUAAAUGUUAGAUUCAUUAUUACUUGAGUUUCAAUUAGAUUUUUUAAAUUAUUUUAUUUAGUUAAAUAACUCUAUUUAAUUACCAAUAAAAUAUAUGGAAGGAUUUGAGAUUUAGGUAAAGAAAUAUUAUAAUUCAAGAAUUAAACUAUUUGAUUUAUAAAUAUAAAAAAAAUAUUUUUAUUAAUUAAUUUAAGGACUGAAAAGUUACUUUAUUUAAACCAUACAAUAAAUAUUCGCCCAACUUUACAUAAUCUUAUUACAAAUAAAAAAAUCAAUAAUUUUAAAACACUUUUUACAAAUAUCGUAAGAGAUUAAAAGAAAUCUUAUCACUCAUUAUUAUUGCUCCUUUUCUUUAAAUUUUUAUUAUACUCAAAAUAUAAAGUAUAUUUAUAAAUUUUUUUAUAAAUAAUUAUCAUAUUAUAAUAUCCAGAAAAAAAUAUCACAAAAAACAUUUCCCCCAAACAUUUGAAAAUACACUUUUACAAAUAUUGUCCCCGAUUAAGGAAUCCCUCUAUAUAUUUAAUUAUUUUUAUGAUUUAAUUAUUCAUAUAUUAUAUUUAUUUUGAAUAUAUUUUUAUUUAUAUUUUUAUUAAAAUAUUGAAAUAUUUAUAAUUUCAAAUUAGUUUAUAAGUAUUUAUAUUAUCAUUUUAAUUUAUUUUCUAUUAUUUAACUAUUUAAAUUAUUAAACUUACAUAAAUUAUUAUCAUUCUCUUUUUUAAAUAAUUUUAAAAUUAAUUUUUCAUUGCAAAUGAAAUUUAAUUUAUUAUUUAAUGAAAUGUCAAUUAUAUUACAUCUUAUUUUUCCUCUAUCUUCUUGCCUUUUCCUUUUCCUUAACCAAUAUUUUACUAUACAUUCACUUAAUAAUAAUAAUAAUAAUUUUAAUGAAAGUAAAUUAUUUAAGGCAUUUGCAAUAUUUUUCAUCCCAUAAUACACAUUCUAAUUGAAAUCACUCAAAAUGACAAUUAGGCUCAUGCCACUUCUAUAUAUAGAAAGCAAUGCCAAAGGACUUCAUGCAUCAUUAGAUUCAUCAGUGAUCAUAAGCAUCACCAGAAACUCACUCUGUAUCUUUCUUUUUUCAAAAACUAAAAAUGACAUUAUGGGGCAAAUUAGAGAUACAUUUUUGGAUCGAUGCUCCUGCAGAUCAGUUUCAUGAUGUCUUCAGUUCCCAACCAUACCUUAUACCCAAUAUGUCCCCUCACAAAAUUCUUGGUGUUGAUCUUCUUGAAGGUGAAUGGGGUAAGGAAGGCACUAUUAUCUGCUGGAAAUAUUUCUAUGGUAAGCGUUUAAUCUUUUUCAAUUGUAAUUUUUUUAAAAAAAAAAAAAUUAUUAAUCAAGUAUAAAAAUGAAAAACAGAUGGGUCUGUUCUAGUGGCUAAAGAAGUAAUUGAAACCAUAUAAAAUGUGAAUUUGUUAACCGUCUUCAAAGUGAUCGAAGGAGAUGUGUCGAAGGAAUAUAAGAGUUUUAAGUUGACCGUUCAAGCUACGCCUAAAGGAGAGGGCAGUGUGGUGCGUUGGACCUUAGAAUAUGAGAAGAUCCAUGAGAAUAUACGAGAUCCUUACUCCUUGCUAGAGUUUAUUGUACAAUUUAGUAAGGAUGUUUCUGCUCAUCUCGUGAAAUAUCCGAAGAAAUGAUCAUGAACAUGUUAUGCUUUAAUAUGUGAUUUGCAUAAUAAUUAAAUAAGUGCUCUAUAAUGAAGCAUCAAUGACAAACAUAUUUGUGUAUGAACUUAUAUCUACAAUGUAUUACAUCUUAAAACUAUGUUUGUGUUUUUUUAAUGAUUACACUUCCUUUAUUAAUGUCUAUCUAAAUUUUUAAUGUCCAAUUGAUGUUGAUUCGUCUUGAUUUAAAUCUAUUUUUUAAUUUUUUAUUAUAAAAAAUUAAAAAUUCAAAGCGAACUCUAACAACUUAAAAUUUAACAUAGAAUGAAAAAUACUCAUGAAAACUUAUCGACAUAAAUUAUGAUAUUCAUAUCCAGAAAUCUCUUCACCGGCUGUUUUCUCUGUUUCAAACAAUGAUUAGUAGCAUCAUAUCUAAUUUUCCUAGAAUUUUCAAUCAAUUUUAAGUUUAUCAAGAUGUAUUGAAAAAUAAUUAAGUAUGAUAUGUAAAAUUAGAAGACUAUGAUCUUAUGAAGGCACACUGAUAUAUAUCAUAAUUUAGAGGAUGUAGCCUUUGUUUAUUUAUAAAGAAUAAAAUUUUAAAAAAUAUUUAUUAUGAAAAAUAUUUUCUAAGAAUAAAAAUAAUUUUUAAGAAAAUUUUUAUUUAUUAUUUAUAUUAAUAUAAAAAAAUAAAAAUAUGCAGCAAUCGCACAGUAUAUAUAUAUAUAUAUAUAUAUAUAUAUAUAUAUAUAUAUUUGUUUAAAAUAAAAGAAGAAAAUAUAAAUUUAUUUUUAUUAGAAUGAGAUAUAUAAUUAUUUAUAUAAGGCAUUGUAACAUUUUCCAUCCCAUAACACAAACCCUAAUUGAAAUCACUCACAAUAGUCAAUGCUUCAUAAUUGAGUAGGAAAGAUCUCUAAACAUAUAUAUAUAUAUAUAUAUAUAUAUAUAUAUAUAUAUAUAUAUAUAUAUAUAUAUAUAUUUAUAUAUGGCAACUAAGCUUAUGCAACUUCUAUAUAAGGAAAGCAAUGCCAAAGCAGCAUAAGCAUUACCAAAAACUCUCUAUUGGGCAAAUUGGAGGCAGAUGUUGAGAUCAAUGCUCCAGCAGAUCAAUUUCACGAUGUCUUUAGUUGCAGACCACACAUGUAUUCAAUAUGAGUCCCAAUAAAAUUGAUGGUUGUGAUCUCCAUGAAGGUGAAUGGGUAAGGAAUGCACUGUGGUUUGCUGGAGUUAUUCUCAUGGUAAGCCUUAAAUCUUCAAUUGAAACUUUCUUUAGCUUUUAUUUUAAUUUUUUUUGUAAUUUUUAAAAAUUAUUAAUUAAGUAUUAAAAUGAAAAAUAAAUAGAUCUCGUAAAGUAGCUAAAGAGAUAAUUGAAGCCAUAAAUGAUGUGAACUUGUCAACCACCUUCAAAGUGAUUGAAGGAGAUCUAUUGAAGGAGUACAGAAGUUUCAAGUUGAUCAUUAAGCUAUACCCAAGGGUGAGGGAAGUUUGACGCAUUGGACUUUGAAAUAUGAAAAAUUCCAUGAGAAUAUACCAAAUCCUAAUACAUUACUGGAACUACUUAUCCACUUAAGUAAAGAUAUUUAUGCUUAUCUCGUGGAAUGUCAAAAAAAAUUCCAUGAGAAUAUGUCAUAACGCAACGCGUGAUAUUUCUUUUAAUAAUUAAAUAAGUGCUCUAUAAUGAAGCACAAGUGGCUGGGACAUUUUGUUGCAGAAAAACUUGCCUAAAAUCUAUGUCAUGUGUUUGUGUUACUCUAUUAUUAUAUGUCUUUUAAUUUGAUAAAAUUAAAAAAAUAGAGAUUAAAUCAUUUACUUUUUAAAAAAAAAUAAUUUAACAGCAUAGAGUAAGGAUUAAACUGUUAAUUUUAAAAUUUUAUGCGGUUAUAUAUUAAUUUUGACCUAAUUAUUUUAUAACAAGUAAUUGCAAUGGUCUCAUCCGUAGGAAAUUUGUAAUUAAUAUAUUUUAUUUAUUUUUAUAUAUUUAUUGUGUGUUGAGUAUAUUAUAAAAGGGUCCAACAUGCAAGUAAUAAUUCAAAAUUUGAAAAAUGUGAUCUAUUAUUUUGUCCCAAUUUGCAUGCAUAGAAGAUUUACUCCAAACGGAAAUAAUUUUUUUUUUUUUUUUACAUUGCAGAGAAAAAAAUUACAAUUAAGCAAUUAGGCGUUUCAGAGAAUAUAGGCCUAUUAAUCUGAAGGCAAUAUUUCUCAAAAACACAAAUUUGCAACAAUAUCAGUAAAAGUGUUUGCGAACAUAGUGGUGUUACAUAACAUUAGUCCAAAAAAAGUUAUGAGUUGUCACUAUAGAAUAGGAAUCACGUGAUAAAAUUUAACAAGUAAAAAAACGUUGUCUCACUACAGGAGGAAACCCGAAUACUUUAACACGCAGACUAUCAUCAAUACUCGCCCUCCCAGGAUAGGCCGAGUCUUGACAGAGUUACUGUUAUUAGGCACAUUUCUACUUUGUCAGAGAUCGUGGGAUUACUAAUCUAAUUAGCUGACGUUGUUCAUUAUUGAGCAGUCGGCCACAUUAUUGCCGAAUUUUCACAAAACACUAUAUUUAUCUUCAUCCCUUACAGUAUAAAAUGAGAACGAUUUCAGAGAAAAUGUAUGCUAUUUCUAAUACUAUUCAAACUCUAAAUAAUCCUUCGCAUUCUCUUUGUUCUUCUAAACACUGAUUUCAGCAUCACAUAGACUGUCGUGGGCACCCACCACCACCUCACGUUUUCUCUUUUGUAGGUUCUAGCCAAUUACAGCUCAGUUCCAUUUCGACUACGUCAUCAAUCCAAUCUUAGCAACAUCAUUUGGUUCCAUUGUCGAGAAAGAUCCAUUAAACUCACUCCUGGAUCAGGCCCAGUUUCCUAUCGUCUUUCCUCACUCGAAAUGGCCGGAAACCCUAUAGUUGCUGACAAUACCAUUACCAAUGAGGGGGUCAUCAUUUCCUCUAUCCCAAAUAACCGAGAGAACAUGCAUCCAGUGAUCAAUGAAACAAACCUUAAUAAUUUGAAUAAUGAGCAGAUAAUCCAGUAUAUCUAAAGGCUGCAGGCCACUCUCGGGCAGUAUAAGACCUAAGAAGAGGCGUCUAAGAUGGACUCUGAAAGAAGAGAUGAGACUUCCGUAAACACCCCCAAAGCCAUCAUGGAAGCACCUAAAAUGCGGCAUAAAGGUGUAACGACCCGAAAAUCGGACCGCUACCGGCGCUAGGAUCUUAAGGUCACCGGAACCCGUAGCAAGCCUAACAUACAUCCUGUAUACCUGCUAAAAUCCCAUACAUGAUCAUACAUUUUCAUAAAAACUUUAAAUUUUUCAUAUACCAAGUUUGACCUAUGCAUGCAACAUAACUGUAUACAUAAAAUCCCUUACUGGAGCCCUCAUCAAAUGCUCUAGUUGGGUCAACAUCUCAUACAUCAAGCUUGGUUCAACAUAUAUCAUCAUUAAAAAUAUUUCAUAAAGAUCAUGUACCAAAAGGGAUUAACCAUACAUUAGGGCCAAGCACAAUACUAAUCCGCAUUACAUUACUGAAUAAUACCUUACAUUACAUUACAUGUCAUUUCAUGUCCACUACUAAUCUAUUACAUGACAUAGCCAUUACCCUUGCUGACUUCAUGCUAUCUUUGACCCUGCAAACCUGGGGGUUAGGGGAAAAGGGUGAGCUACAAAAGCCCAGUGAGUAGAACAGUAAAACACAAUUUAAUAAAACACAUGCUUUUAUGAAAUGCGUCACAACACAAACAAUUCACAACAAGGAUGGACUUGUCACCAAUAACCCUCUACAUAAUUCAAUGUGCCCGGCCCUCGACGGGGCUCCCCAGGACUUCCUCUUAAACAUAAUAUAAUGCCAAGACGCAUGGCAUGGGCAGCCCUGGACUUUCUUACAUACCAUAUCAUAUCAUAUUGAGGGCUAGUGGGUCAUCCAAUAUCCAUCCACAACAACAACAAAUUAUGCAAUGCAUCAUAUUCGUGAAUUCUAAUGCCACAACCUAAUACAUAAACAUGGUAUCCAUGAUGCAUGAGCAUGCUUAAAAGUUUGAUUGCUUAAAAAAAGAAAGAGUUAUGUUCUACUCACCUUUGGCUGACUCUAGAAUAGCUAACUCACUGUUGAUCACCUCGGUUCCUCAAGUCCAAUCUUACACAGGUAGACUCAAAUGAGGGACCAAACAUACUCUAACAUGACUCUAAACAUCUCCCCAAAAACCCCCUAAAAUAUCAUAAAACAUGCACACAAAACAAGCAAAGGAAGGCUAGGCAGGAGACUUUCGGCGGCAGGUUCGGCGGCCGAAGGUCCCUACAGAGCCGAAAGUCAGGCACUUUCGGGGGCAGGGUUCGGCGGCCGAAAGCCUUCACAGACUCGAAAGUCACCCACCUUCGGGGGCAGGUUCGGUGGCCGAAACUCCCCUCCAGAGUCGAAAGUCUAACUUUCAGGGGCGAGUUUAGGCGGUCAAAACUACCUCCUCUGGCAGGUUCGGCGACCGAACCUGGGUUCUCCAGGACGACAGAACCCGAUUUUGCCUCAUGUAUUCAGCCAUCCAAACCUCACCAACACCCAUCCAACUAUUCUAAAGCAUGCAUAAAUACAUAUUCGAGCUUAUAGGGGCUUAAAACUAGCCUAUACCCCCAACAAACAUCAACAUAGCAUCACAUUUAACAUUAAACUAACAUAAACCCUAACAUUUAGAUCUACUCUAAAUAUGCAUUAAACACCCUUAAAACCUCCUAAAACUUACUUAAAACAUAAAAAGGUAUAGAUCUACACUUACCUCUUGAAGAUCGAGAGGAGAGGUGAUCCAAACUUGGAGAUUGGGAGAAAUCGAGCUCUGGGGGUCUCCAAGCUUCAAAACUUUGAUCUUAGCUUAAAAUCUUCAAAACAAAGGUAAAAACUGCUCAUCAAGACUUAAAGGAAAUGAAGGAAAACACAAAAUCAACCAAAGGAGGGCGAAAUCUCACCUAUGUCAGAAAAUAAAGAGAGAAAACUUGUCCAUUUUCGGAUAAUGGGCCUUUUAUAGGUGGCUGGCCAGACCACCUUCAGGGGCCAAAGGUGCUUCCACAAGAGCCCAAUGUUCCGCGGUCGAACCUGGCUUUUCCUUCCUUGGUCUUUUCUUUCAAAACUCAAUUUCUUUUUUCAUUAAAACCAUAAAAAUAUAUAAAAACAUUUUAGAAAACCUUUAUUUUACCCUUCUAGAAGGCUCCGACAUCCGAGAAUUUCAGAUUCCAACGGAGAUUCCGCUGGAAGGUAGGAAUUCCGAUGCCGGAGUCUAGCCGGGUAUUUUAAACUCACUCCUGGAUCAGGCCCAGUUUCCUAUCGUCUUUCCUCACUCGAAAUGGCUGAAAACCCUACAGUUGCUGACAAUACCAUUACCAAUGAGGGGGUCAUUAUUUCCUCUAUCCCAAAUAACCGAGAGAACAUGCAUCCAAUGAUCAAUAAAGCAGACCUUAAUAAUUUGAAUAAUGAGCAAAUAAUCCAGUAUAUCUAAAGGUUGCAGGCCACUCUCGGGCAGUAUAAGACCCAAGAAGAGGCGUCUAAGAUGGACUCUGAAAGAAGAGAUGAGACUUUCGUAAACACCCCCAAAGCCAAGAUAGAAGCACCUAAAAUGCGGCAUAAAGGUAAGUGUGAAUCUGAAGAUAAAUCAAAUGAGGUUUCAAAAGAAGUGAAUUGGAAGCUAGUACGAGCCAUACAAAGAUAUUAAAGAAAACAAGAAGAGGAUUAUAGUUUGGAUGGGGUCUCGCCUCUUUCGGAAAAAAUACUGGUGAAAACUUUUCCCGCUAAGUUCAAGUUGUCCUAUUUGGAUAAGUAUUACGGGACAGCAGACCCUUGAAGCCAUCUAGCCAUUUUCAGGACGACCCUGGAGUUUCAAGAUUUAAAUAAUUUUGUGUUAUGCCGAAUGUUCCUGUCGACAUUCGCAGAUUUCUGAAACUUAUUAAUAAGUAUAAAAAUAAAAAAUUGAUGGAUCUCGCAAAGUGGCAAAAGAGGUGAUUGAAACUAUAGAUGAUGUGAACUUAUCAACCACUUAUGAAAUGAUCGACAGAGAUCUAAUGAAGGAGUACAAGAGUUUCAAAGCUACUGUUCAAGCUACACCCAAAAGAAAUGGCAGUUUGGUGCAUUGGACCUUGUUAAUAUAAGAAGUUGAAUGAAAAUAUAUCAGAUCUCCAUACAUUAAUGGAAUUUCUUAUCCAUUGCAGUAAGGAUAUUUCUGCUCAUCUCGUGGAAUGCCGGAAGAAAUGAUCAUGGAAUAUGAUCAUCACAUAUUCAUAUCUAAGAAUCUCUUUGCUGUUUUUUCAGACAAUAAAUAAUCAAUUAGUAGCAUCUAUCGAUCUAGCUAAUUUUUUAAAAGUUUUUGAUCGAUUUUAAAUUUAUCAAUAUGUGUUGAUAAUUAAUUAUGAUACAUAAAAUCAGAGACUAUGAUUUUAUUCAUACAUAUUGUAAUAGACAUCAUAAUUUGGAUGCAUUAGAUUCUAUUUAUUUAUAAAAAAUAAAUUAUUGUCUUUAAAAAUAAUUUAAUAUUUUUAUCAGUAAAAUAAUUUUUAUUAAUCAUUUCUUUUGAGUAUUCUAUAUACAUAAAAAAAAUUGAAAGAUAUUUUAGCCGCGUAUAUAUUCACAUUUUCACUUAUUAAUUAUAUAUCUAUAUAAAUUAAAUAUGGGAUUUAAUAUAAUUUAAAAUAAUAUAUUAUUUAUUUAUGUAUCAUAUUUAUAUAUUAAAAUUUCUAUGGAAUUUUUCAUCAAAUAAUGCUCAACUCCUCUAUGAGUUAUGGCACCCUCUUCGAAUAGCUAGAAAUACCUAAUCUUAUUUAAAAAAUAAAUAUUUUACUUAAACUUUAAUAUAAAUAUUUUAUUUAAUUAUUAAAAUUAACUCAUUUUUAUAUAUGAAUUUAAAUAAUUUAAAUUAAAUUUUAACGAAAUUUUAAAAUAAAUUUAACAUUAAAAAUGAAAUAAAAUUAUCUUAUUAUUUCUAUUUGUGAUAAUUGUUUUAUCUCACUAAACUUAAAUAGAGUUAGAGAUGUAUCGUAUGAAAAAACUUGCUUAAACGUUGAGUUUCAAUUAGAUUUUUUUAAAUAAUUUUAUUUAGUUUAAGAACUCUAUUUAAUUACCAAUAAAAUAUAUGGAAGGAUUUGAGAUUUAGGUAAAGAAAAAUUAUAAUUCAAGAAUUAAACUAUUUGUUUUAUAAAUAAAAAAAAUAUUUUUAUUAAUUAAUUUAAGGACUGAAAAGUUACUUUAUUUAAACCAUACAAUAAAUAUUUGCCCAACUUUACAUAAUCUUAUCACAAAAAAAAAAAUCAAUAAUUUUAAAACACUUUUUACAAAUAUCGUAAGAGAUUAAAAGAAAUCUUAUCACUCAUUAUUAUUGCUCCUUUUCUUUAAAUUUUUAUUAUACUCAAAAUAUAAAGUAUAUUUAUAAAUUUUUUUAUAAAUAAUUAUCAUAUUAUAAUAUCCAGAAAAAAAUAUCACAAAAAACAUUUCCCCCAAACAUUUGAAAAUACACUUUCACAAAUAUUGUCCCCGAUUAAGGAAUCCCUCUAUAUAUUUAAUUAUUUUUAUGAUUUAAUUAUUCAUAUAUUAAAUUUAUUUUGAAUAUAUUUUUAUUUAUAUUUUUAUUGAAAUAUUGAAAUAUUUAUAAUUUCAAAUUAGUUUAUAAGUAUUUAUAUUAUCAUUUUAAUUUAUUUUCUAUUAUUUACAAUAAUUUUCAUCCCAUAAUACACAUUCUAAUUGAAAUUACUCAACAUAGUCACAUCUGCAUAAUUGAGUAUGAAAAUAUUUCUAUAAUAUUAAAAUAAAUAAAUAUAUAAAUGACAAUUAGGCUCAUGCCACUUCUAUAUAUAGAAAGCAAUGCCAAAGGACUGCAUGCAUCAUUAGAUUCAUUAGUGAUCAUAAGCAUCACCAGAAAUUCUGUAUCUUUCUUUUUUCAAAAGCUAAAAAUGACAUUAUGGGGCAAACUAGAGGCACAGUUUGGGAUCGAUGCUCCUGCAGAUCAGUUUCAUGAUGUCUUCAGUUGUCGACCACACCAUAUAUCCAAUAUGUCCCCUCACCAUAUUCAUGGUUGUGAUAUUCAUGAAGGUGAAUGGGGUAAGGAAGGCUCUAUUGUCUGCUGGAAAUAUUUCCAUGGUAAGCGUUUAAUCUUUUUCAAUUGUAUUUUUCCUUUUUUCUUCUAAAAAUUAUUAAUAAGUAUAAAAUGAAAAACAGAUGGGUCUGCUAAAGUGGCUAAGGAAGUAAUUGAAACCAUAGAUGAUGUGAAUUUGUUAACCGUCUUUAAAGUGAUCGAAGGAGAUUUGUUGAAGGAAUAUAAGAGUUUCAAGUUGACCGUUCAAGCUACAC
rnacentral:lncRNA from 1 species